rnacentral:rRNA from 1 species
CCCUUAGAUGUUCUGGGCCGCACGCGCGCUACACUGACGAUGGCAACGAGUUUUUCCUUCGCCGAAAGGUGUGGGUAAUCUUUUGAAACAUCGUCGUGCUGGGGAUAGAUCAUUGCAAUUUUUGAUCUUGAACGAGGAAUUCCUAGUAAGCGCGAGUCAUCAGCUCGCGUUGAUUACGUCCCUGCCCUUUGUACACACCGCCCGUCGCUACUACCGAUUGAAUGGUUUAGUGAGGACUCCUGAUUGGCGCCGCCGCCCCGGCAACGGAGCAGCGGACUGCCGAAAAGUUGUUCAAACUUGAUCAUUUAGAGGAAGUAAAAGGCGGAACA